rnacentral:lncRNA from 1 species
CAUUUAGAUCCCCUUCCACACUGUGGAAGCUUUGUUCUUUUGCUCUUUGCAAUAAAUUUUGCUGCUGCUCACUGUUUGGGUCUGCCCCGCCUUUAUGAGCUGUAACACUCACCACGAAGGUCUGCAGCUUCACUCCUGAAGCCGGAGACCACGAACCCACCGGGAAGAACAAACAACUCCAGACUUGCCGCCUUUAAGAGCUGUAACACUCACCGUGAAGGUCUGCGGCUUCACUCCUGAAGCCAGAGAGACCACGAACCCACAAGAAGGAAGAAACUCUGGACACAUCUAAAACAUCUGAAGGAACAAACUCCAGACACACCAUCUUUAAGAAUUGUGACACUCACCACAAGGGUCCGCGGCUUUAUUCUUGAAGUCAGGGAGACCAAGGACCCACCAAUUCUGGACACACUACUAAGGUAUUUGUCCAGCCAGUGCGGACCCAUUCUUCGGAGACUGGGUCUCAGCUCUGCCCCAAGAUUUUUUGUUUCCUCAGUUCUGGGGAUGGCAAUUGUUUUAUAAGAUUACCACCUCUGUGAUACCUCAGUGCCCUAGUUUUGCCUGUUUAAUGCAUGUGAAGACAGUUUCUUAUGUAUUAAAAUACCUGAUGUGGUUUUUAUUUUCUGGAGUAACCUUAAGUGAAACACCAUGACUAAAGUCUCCUAAGAAUGACCUUCAUAAAUUAAGAUAUUUUGUCUUUCACAGUAAACAUGCUUCCGUAGUCAGAAGUGACACACGGCCAACUCAAAAUAGUUUGGGGAAAAAAGGAACUGCAUUGGCUGAAAGAAUCGAAAGAGUGAUUGAAAACCAACGGUAGGAAGUAUGGUUAUUCAACACAACUUCAGGAAUAAUUGAAAGCAGGGAAGAUCUGAAGAUA